rnacentral:rRNA from 1 species
UCAGCUUGUUGGUGAGGUAAUGGCUCACCAAGGCGACGACGGGUAGCCGGCCUGAGAGGGUGACCGGCCACACUGGGACUGAGACACGGCCCAGACUCCUACGGGAGGCAGCAGUGGGGAAUAUUGCACAAUGGGCGAAAGCCUGAUGCAGCAACGCCGCGUGAGGGAUGACGGCCUUCGGGUUGUAAACCUCUUUUAGUAGGGAAGAAGCGAAAGUGACGGUACCUGCAGAAAAAGCACCGGCUAACUACGUGCCAGCAGCCGCGGUAAUACGUAGGGUGCAAGCGUUGUCCGGAAUUAUUGGGCGUAAAGAGCUCGUAGGCGGUUUGUCGCGUCUGCUGUGAAAUCCCGAGGCUCAACCUCGGGCUUGCAGUGGGUACGGGCAGACUAGAGUGCGGUAGGGGAGAUUGGAAUUCCUGGUGUAGCGGUGGAAUGCGCAGAUAUCAGGAGGAACACCGAUGGCGAAGGCAGAUCUCUGGGCCGUAACUGACGCUGAGGAGCGAAAGCAUGGGGAGCGAACAGGAUUAGAUACCCUGGUAGUCCAUGCCGUAAACGUUGGGC